AAUUAAGAGGGACUGUCCAUUGGGUGCCAAACAUCCAUUGGGGUUUCUACUUAACUUUUUUAAAAAGUUGUUUCUAUAAGAAGAGAUGUAUACAUGGAAUAGUCACUGCAGCACUGUUUGUAAUAACAAAAAACUAGAGACAAACUAAAUGUCUAUCACUAGAAAGCUGUAAUAGUAAAUUAUAGUACAUCUAUAUUGUGAAAUACUAUGCAGCCAUCAAAAAGAAUGAGGCCCAUGUAUAUGUCCUGAUAUGGAACAAUGUCUAGGAAAUACUUGGAGGGAAAAAAGCAAGGUGCAGAAAACUAAAUAGUAUGCCAACAUUUGUUAAACUAUAAGAGGAGGGCAAAGAAGACAUGUAUGUUUAUGUAACUAGACAUUGAGAGGGGUUUAUUCCAUGUAUACAUCUCUUCCUAUUGUCCUGGAUCUGUUGCUGAAGCCCAAACUUGAAAAUAAAAAGCCCACAAGGAGCUCACAUUCUACACUGAAAAAACUGCCAGUGGCUGGGGCCAGCUACCUUCUAGCAGGGAAUUUGAAGAGCAGUUGUUGAAGAAGUCAGCUCUUGACCAACUUCUACCUCCACUCCACUACUCCCUCACCUAUUCCCCAUUUCCAACCCCAUCCCCACAGACACACCAUCACCAGUAAUCUGUGGAAAGAAAGAUUGGAGACAUGGGAGGGAAGUCAGCCUUUAGGGAAAUUGUAAUGUCAUGGAAAGAGACGCCUUCUUUCUGUCCCCUCAUGGAGACUGUGUCCUCAUCUAGAACCAAAGGAGAGGGGCUCCAAAAGAAUCACCAGUGAGGAUUGGGUGUGCCUGCAGGAAGAUGGGACUGACAACUCCCUGGAUAUCUAUCUGUUUGGGCAGCACUGAUCUGCUCUGCCCUAUUGCUUCCUGCACAAAGGAGAACACAGAUGGAGAGAGACAGCACUGGAGGGGCUUUGGAUGGUGUGGGGAGAACCUUAGAUGAAGAGGGGCUGAAGUUGCUUCCCCUUAUCCCUUCCUCCCACCUUGACUUUCUAGUCCCAGAUUGGAGUACGGCAAAGAAGUGUCCAUCAGAGAGGAGUGUGGCAUAAUGACACAAGCUAACCAUCUGCUGGAAGAUAUAGCAAAUGUGUGAGGGGUCACCUGUUCCUGGGAAGAUGCCUGGAAUCCUCCAGGUGUGCAG
rnacentral:lncRNA from 10 species